rnacentral:lncRNA from 1 species
CCAAUUUCUUUGGUAGUUCAUAUGAGGAAGUAAGUACCAUCUGCUUUCGCAGAGAUCUUCAUUUGAUUCACUUUCCGAAUGUGAAGCACAUUUUCUUCACUCAUAUAUCUGCUACUUCUUAUUAGUCACACUUUUACAACGAUUGUAAAACAUAGUUACUAAUACGGAAUCAUGCAUUCAAGUAGAAGAACCAACUGUUUUGAACUAUUCAAGAA